GGAGAGAUGGCGGAGUGGUCGAUCGCGGCGGUCUUGAAAACCGUUGACCUGACAGGGUUCGGGGGUUCGACUCCCUCUCUCUCCG
rnacentral:tRNA from 1 species